rnacentral:rRNA from 1 species
UACGUAGGGUGCAAGCGUUAAUCGGAAUUACUGGGCGUAAAGCGUGCGCAGGCGGUUUUGUAAGUCUGUCGUGAAAGCCCCGGGCUCAACCUGGGAAUUGCGAUGGAGACUGCAAGGCUUGAAUCUGGCAGAGGGGUAGAAUUCCACGUGUAGCAGUGAAAUGCGUAGAGAUGUGGAGGAACACCGAUGGCGAAGGCAGCCCUGGGUCAAGAUUGACGCUCAUGCACGAAAGCGUGGGAGCAAACAGG